rfam:Arenibacter nanhaiticus strain CGMCC 1.8863 genome assembly, contig: Ga0066783_123
GGGGCCGACUGGUUUUGACAGCGAGAUCAAUUGGAAUGUAAGCAUGCCGAGCGCUGGGCUACAGCUCGUAAAUCUCAUUUUCCACACUUUUUAAUUGGCGAAAAUAACUACGCUCUUGCCGCUUAAUCUGAAUCAUAGUAAGAUUAGCCUCGUCCCUACAAGGUAGGGAAGCGAGAUGUUUCUGGGAUGCCCUUGUUGACGGCGACCCAAUCAGAAGCACCAGAAAAGUCGACAUAAGGAUGUUGUUUCUUUGCCAACAUCACGAAAACUGAAAAAGAUAAGGAUGCAUUAGGCCGUUUCUGGUCAGGUGUGUUUCGAAAAUCAAGCAGAAACUAAGCAUGUAGAAAGCCUUGUAAUUGCUUGUUUGGACGAGGGUUCGAAUCCCUCCGGCUCCACUU